GGUAGCAUGGCCGAAAGGUCCAAGGCGCGAUUAAGGCUCCAGUCUCUUUGGGGGCAGGGUUCAAUCCUCUGCUGCCA